AGUGAACGCUGGCGGUAGGCCUAACACAUGCAAGUCGAACGGCAGCACAGUAAGAGCUUGCUCUUACGGGUGGCGAGUGGCGGACGGGUGAGGUAUACAUCGGACUCUACUUUUUCGUGGGGGAUAACGUAGGGAAACUUACGCUAAUACCGCAUACGACCUACGGGUGAAAGCAGGGGAUCUUCGGACCUUGCGCGAUUGAAUGAGCCGAUGUCGGAUUAGCUAGUUGGCGGGGUAACGGCCCACCAAGGCGACGAUCCGUAGCUGGUCUGAGAGGAUGAUCAGCCACACUGGAACUGAGACACGGUCCAGACUCCUACGGGAGGCAGCAGUGGGGAAUAUUGGACAAUGGGCGCAAGCCUGAUCCAGCCAUACCGCGUGGGUGAAGAAGGCCUUCGGGUUGUAAAGCCCUUUUGUUGGGGAAGAAAAGAAGCAGGUUAAUACCCCGCUGUUCUGACGGUACCCAAAGAAUAAGCACCGGCUAACUUCGUG
rnacentral:rRNA from 1 species